rnacentral:rRNA from 1 species
AUUGAACGCUGGCGGCAUGCCUUACACAUGCAAGUCGAACGGCAGCACGGGGGCAACCCUGGUGGCGAGUGGCGAACGGGUGAGUAAUGCAUCGGAACGUGCCCAGUAGUGGGGGAUAACUAGUCGAAAGAUUAGCUAAUACCGCAUACGACCUAUGGGUGAAAGCGGGGGAUUCGCAAGAACCUCGCGCUAUCGGAGCGGCCGAUGUCUGAUUAGCUAGUUGGCGGGGUAAAGGCCCACCAAGGCUUCGAUCAGUAGCUGGUCUGAGAGGACGACCAGCCACACUGGGACUGAGACACGGCCCAGACUCCUACGGGAGGCAGCAGUGGGGAAUUUUGGACAAUGGGCGCAAGCCUGAUCCAGCCAUGCCGCGUGCGGGAAGAAGGCCU